AUUGAACGCUGGCGGCAGGCCUAACACAUGCAAGUCGAGCGGCAGCGCGUCCGACCACCCUCGGGUGGUCGGAUGGCGGCGAGCGGCGGACGGGUGAGGAAUGCAUCGGAAUCUGCCUCGUUGUGGGGGAUAACGUAGGGAAACUUACGCUAAUACCGCAUACGACCUACGGGUGAAAGUGGGGGACCUUCGGGCCUCACGCGAUGAGAUGAGCCGAUGCCGGAUUAGCUAGUUGGCGGGGUAAAGGCCUACCAAGGCCACGAUCGGUAGCUGGUCUGAGAGGAUGAUCAGCCACACUGGGACUGAGACACGGCCCAGACUCCUACGGGAGGCAGCAGUGGGGAAUAUUGGACAAUGGGCGCAAGCCUGAUCCAGCAAUGCCGCGUGUGUGAAGAAGGCCUGCGGGUUGUAAAGCACUUUCAGUGGGGAAGAACAGAUUCGGGUCAAUACCCCGGAGCCCUGACGUUACCCACAGAAGAAGCACCGGCUAACUCCG
rnacentral:rRNA from 1 species